UACGUAGGGGGCUAGCGUUGUCCGGAUUUAUUGGGCGUAAAGAGCGUGUAGGCGGCCAGGUAGGUCUGCUGUGAAAACUCGAGGCUCAACCUCGAGACGUCGGCGGAAACCAUCUGGCUAGAGUCCGGAAGAGGAGAGUGGAAUUCCUGGUGUAGCGGUGAAAUGCGCAGAUAUCAGGAGGAACACCAAUGGCGAAGGCAGCACUCUGGGACGGUACUGACGCUGAGACGCGAAAGCGUGGGGAGCGAACAGG
rnacentral:rRNA from 1 species